AGUGCGAGGCGCGCGGGGCACGGAGGGCGGUGGCGGCGGGCUCCUGUGAGAAGCGAGCGGAGCUUCCUGAGGUGUCACAGCUGGGUGACCCUCGGAAGGAAGGUUUUGCCGCUGGCGCGUCAGGUGUAUCGCGGUCUUGGGCCGCGGAUCCCUGGGGCCUGCCGCCGCCUCUGGGGUUCGCGCGGCCCGGGCGUCGGGGCUGCCUCAGCGCUGGCUGAAGGCCGGUCCGACGCACCCUUAAUUGUGGCCGCGCGUUGCCCUGCUGCGCCUGCUGUUCUCCGCGUCGCGGUGGUGGACUCUGGAGGUGGAGCCUUGCCCGACGAGUCCUUGAGGAUUUUGUGAAAAUGGAAAAUUAUGAGGCAUUGGUAGGCUUUGAUCUCUGUAAUACACCGCUCUCCAGUGUUGCUCAGAAGAUUAUGUCUGCUAUGCAUUCAGGUGAUUUAGUGGAUUCUAAGACUUGGGGAAAGAGUACAGAGACUAUGGAAGUGAUAAACAAGUCCAGUGUUAAGUAUUCAGUACAACUUGAAGAUGGGAAGAAUCAAUCACCAGAAAAAAAGGAUCUUAAAUCUUUAAGAAGUCAGACAUCAAGAGGUUCCGCCAAGCUCUCUCUUCAGUCCUGCAGUGUCAGGCUCACAGAUCAGCUGUCUACUGACCAAAAACAGAAGAGCAUCAGCUCAUUGACUCUUUCAAGUUGUUUAAUUCCACAGUAUAAUCAAGAGGCUUCAGUUCUACAGAAAAAGGGGCAUAAAAGAAAGCAUUUCCUAACGGAGAAUAUAAAUAAUGAAAAUAAAGGAAGCAUUAAUCUUAAAAGAGAACAUGUUACAUAUAAUAAUUCAUCAGAGAAAACAAGUAAACAAAUGGCAUUGGAAGAAGAUACUGAUGAGGCUGAAGCCUACCUCAAUUCUGGGAACUCAGGAGCAUUGAAAAAACAUUUUUGUGAUAUUAGGCAUUUGGAUGAUUGGGCAAAAAGCCAGCUGAUUGAAAUGCUCAAACAGGCAGCAGCCCUGGUGGUAACUGUGAUGUAUAGUGAUGGUUCCACCCAGCUAGGAGUUGACCAGACCCCCAUUUCCUCUGUUAAAGGAAUUGUGGUGUUACUAAAACGCCAAGCAGAGGGUGGCCAUGGUUGUCCAGAUGCCCCGGCCUGUGGUCCUGUUCUGGAGGGCUUUGUGUCAGAUGAUCCAUGUAUCUACAUUCAAAUAGAGCACUCUGCUAUCUGGGACCAAGAACAGGAGGCACAUCAACAAUUUGCCCGGAACGUGCUAUUUCAAACACUGAAAUGUAAAUGUCCUGUUAUUUGUUUUAAUGCUAAAGAUUUUGUGAGAAUAGUGCUGCAGUUUUUUGGUAAUGAUGGCAGUUGGAAGCAUGUUGCUGAUUUUGUAGGGCUAGAUCCCAGAAUUGCUGCAUGGCUUAUAGAUCCUAGUGAUGCCACACCCUCUUUUGAAGAUUUAGUAGAAAAAUACUGUGAAAAAUCCAUUACUUUUAAAGUGAACAACACAUAUGGAAAUUCCUCAAGAAAUAUUGUGAUUCAGAAUGUACGUGAGAACCUGAAGAUACUCUACAGACUUACAAGGGACCUUUGCUCUAAACUGAAGGGUUAUGGUUUAUGGCAGCUAUUUUGUACUUUGGAGCUUCCUCUGAUACCAAUUUUGGCAGUGAUGGAAAGCCAUGCCAUUCAGGUGAACAAAGAGGAGAUGGAGAAGACGUCAGCACUUCUUGGGGCUCGUCUCAAGGAAUUGGAGCAAGAAGCUCAUUUUGUUGCAGGAGAACCGUUUCUUAUAACAAGCAAUAACCAGCUUCGAGAGAUCCUCUUUGGCAAGUUAAAGCUGCACCUGCUGAGUCAAAGGAACAGUCUCCCCAGAACGGGGCUGCAGAAAUACCCGUCCACAUCAGAAGCAGUGUUAAAUGCUCUGCGAGACUUUCAUCCAUUACCCAAGAUAAUUUUGGAAUACAGGCAGGUUCACAAGAUCAAGUCAACCUUUGUAGAUGGAUUGCUAGCUUGCACGAAAAAGGGCUCCAUUUCCUCUACAUGGAAUCAGACUGGAACUGUGACUGGAAGACUUUCAGCCAAGCAUCCUAUUUGUGCCAGUGGCUUCUGAUUUCCAGAAAUGUGUUGAAGUAUCUGAUGCUAUGAUGAAGAGCUCCAUUUUUUGGUCAUUGUUGAAGCUAUAUCUGAUG
rnacentral:sRNA from 1 species